AUGAGGAACCACCUCCUCCUACUGUUCAAGUACAGGGGCCUGGUCCGCAAAGGGAAGAAAAGCAAAAGACGAAAAUGGCUAAAUUCGUGAUCCGCCCAGCCACUGCCGCCGACUGCAGUGACAUACUGCGGCUGAUCAAGGAGCUGGCUAAAUAUGAAUACAUGGAA